AUUUUUAAUUGCCCAGAGCCUAAUUUCUUUGGGUCUCUGCUGAUUUGCACAUUCGAGAUUCAUGUGUAAAUAUGCAUGUGGCAUGUGUGCACGCCUGGGCUUCUUUACCACAAAGUGUGUUCUCUCAGUGUUUAAAUACACACAAUCCACACAGACACACCAUUAUGGGCUUGCGUAUUUGCCUCUUCUCUCGAAUUGGGUUCAUUUUCCCUUCGAUAAUCCUCAAACCCAUUAAGCUCCCCCCCCGCCCCCACAAAAAAUUGCCAACCCUACCACAGACCACUGGUCUCACCCCACUUCUCCAGCAGGCAGCUCUCCAGGCGGGAGCUGGAGUGAAGGUUCCUAUUAGGCAGACUUCAUUAAUGUUACCAAAUAUACCCCAGCACAUUUACUCAUCUACUAUGAAGUAUUAUCAUAAAUAAUUAAAAUUAAACUGCACUUGUCAAAAUAAAUGAACAAAGUACAGUUAGUGAUGUCUUUGCCUUGAUUUGCUUGCCUUGGGUUGGCUUAUUCACUAAUUUAAGAAAAGAAGGAAGAGCGAGGGAGAGGGGAGUUACGAAAGAACAGACUUGCGGGGGAAGGGGAGAAGGGGCGAGAAAGAGACGGGGAAACCCCUCAGUCACCUGCCCUUGGGUUUCCAGUCAUUAGGGCACACUCUGCCCGGCUGGAAUGCAGUCUCUACCGUCAGCUCAUAACACAUAUCGAGGUGUGCAGGUGGAAGGAGGGAUUUCUUUGUUUACCGAGGAAUGGCCUGGGAAUGGGCGAGAGGAUUGCCUUUGGGGAUUAAGGAGUGGGCUUUGUUUUUAUGAAGGGUCUUACUUCUUUUCUGAAGUUUUCUGCAGCUAAUUGAUUCAGUUCAGACAUGCCUCCUCCCUACCCGGCCAGCCGAGGCUGCGUGUUUGUGAGAAGAGCACAGGCCCCACAUCCCCAUCGGCUCCCGCCCCUUUCCCCACCAUGACCCUUGCAAACAGUGUGAACCUUCACGUGAAGGAGAUCACAGGCUAUGGGAGAAACCCCGUCAGGGGCUGAGACUUCUGUAUGUAUGUGUGUGUGAUACACUGCCACAUACUUAGACACCGCCAUGUCUAUUAUUAGAAGUAUAAUUCACAUAUAGGAACAGAUCACAGGUGUACAGUGGUUCUGGGCAUUCUGACAAAUGCAUUUACCCCAUGAUAACACUUCCCUCACCCCAUAAACUUCCUGGCUGCCUCUUCCGAUCAAUCCCUGUCCACCUGCCUCCUGAUAGCUCUGACCAUGGAUUCCUUUGACCCAUCUAGAGUUGUAUCUACAUAGAAUGUCUGCCAGGACUCUUUAGGAGAUUUCAUGUUUGCAGUGGCCUUGGGCAAGGGGUAAACACCCCCCCCCCUCGGAUGGACCCAGAAGCCAGAUCUGUAAUUCAAUUUUUUUUUUUUUUUUUUUGGUGGGGUGGCUGGUUUGAGGUGGUCUUCAUGCAGGAUAGCCCUGCUCCGACCAGAGGUCUGUUAAGGAUGGGGGACUGGUGAAGCUCACACGCUGCAGCUUGCUUCCCAUCCGAGGCAUCCAGGAGUGGAGGGAGAGCUGUUAUGGAAGGCGCUGGCUUUGUGCUAAUUAGAACUUCCUCGCACACAGGCACUGGAGCCCCUCACUGGUCAGCCUCACCUCCCCCUAUCAGCUGGCAACCUAGUUUUUGUUCCCCUCAUGAAUUAGGGGGUGCUGUGAGUGGAGCUGCUCUCUUGUCUCUGGCCAAACGCAGGUUCUUUGUGUGUUGUAGGAAUGUGUGGGGUGGCCUUUUCUGAGCCUCCUCUGUCUUGUUAGGGUGGAGACGGACUGCACGUUGGAAAAGGGGUUGGCCGGUCCCCUGGGCUAGGCUGGUCCCACACUCCUGCAACUCGGGUUUGUUUUGAAAAGGACCUUUUGCUUCUGCCCUCUGGAGAGUGUGGCUUCAGACCCUUGGCCCCUCCGUUACCGUUACCCCCAUUCUGAGUGUCUCCCAAGUCUGUACCCACCCAUCUUAACCUUCAGCUGCCAUCUUUGCAGUGUCAGGAAGCCUGGGGGUGGGGGCUGUCUCCCUGGCCCUCUUCUGAAAAAGCCCAAACUUUUUUUUUUUUUUCGUUUUGCCUUUUCCUUCUUUCACCUCCAGCCCAAUGGACAUAAUUUUCAAAAUGGAGAUUGUCUCUUAUAGAGGUUUCAUUAAAAAAAAAAAGGAAGGAAAGAAACAUUAACGUCACAGUAUCGUCAUUUAAAGAAAAAGCAUCUCUCAGCUUGGAGGCUGGGGGAGUUACAGCUUCCUGUCUGAUUAUCAGUUGGGAUGAAAUUUCUUGUGGGGAACCAGAGACAGGGGCAUUUCCUUACCAUGCUCCUCUUUUUAGCUCCUGAAUCCCCUCAGGUCUCCACUGGGGUUGUGUGUAAAAAUAUCUGCUCUCCUUGCCCCUUCGUCUCAUUUUCUCCUGCUUGAAUUAUCCUGAUCAGAAUACAGGUCACCCACUUCUUUGACUGUGUACACUGGGAUUUUAAAAAUCAGGAGUGGACUAUUGGCCAGCAUAAGGCUUUGCCAGGUUCCCUCAAGGUGGUGGACCCAGGCUAAAGAGGGUAGAAACAGGAAAUACCUCUGGAGCGCCCAAAAGGGCUUGAGGAAUUCCCACAUCAUGGCUCUUGGGGACGGCAGGAAGAUUGGCUCUUCCUGGCUUUCCUUGGUGGCCUUUUCUGCCCCUAGGGGUGACAAUCCUGAACCGAGACACUAGCGUGGACUUCAGAACAGUCCUGGACUGUGGUAAUAAUCCAGCAAUCCAAAUUCCAGAAGGGUGGCAGCUAUGGGGUGGGAAGGAUGCCCACACCUGGGAAGCAGGGUUUUAGGGCAUGUAUCCUUGACAAGUCACCUCCUCUCUCUGGGCUUCUGUAUCACCAUCUGUGAAAUGGGGAUAGUAGGACCUGCACCUCCAGGGGUCAUGUGAGGAAGAAAUACACAAAGUGCCUGGCAUGCAGUAGGUGCUGAGUAAAUGACAGCUCUUUCUGCAGGGUUGGACAGAGGGUACACAUAAAUGUCUGGAUCUGAAAUUUAAACCUCCACCUGCUGCAGACUCAGUGAAAGCACUAACAGAAGUCCAGAAUCCCUUGGAAGAAAUGACCAGUGCCUGCCAUGCAUAAUGGGCCCCUGAAUUGGGAGGCAAGACACAGAACUCCAAGGAGCAACCCCUUUUGGAAGGCUGGAAUGAGUAUAAAGUGUAAAGUUCCAAGCCUCUCUCACUGGGGAGGAGGACAUAUAAAUGUCUAUAGGUUUGAAGGGAGCAGGAUAGGGGUUGACUUCCAUGGCCAGAGGUUGAUUGUCACCAGGAGGUCCCUGUCAGUUCGGGGGUUCAGGAUUUCUAACAGCUGGUGCCUGGAGUCCCAGCUCCAGCAGGUUCUGAGUUUCAGCACUCAUGAACAUUGCUGUCUGGGGGGACACCGAGGUCAUUCUGGGAACUCGAUGGCAGGCUCAGAACGACACGCUGGGCCCUAGGUGCACCCAGGUGCCCCACCUCAGGGCUGUCCAUAUCCGGAGCCUCAGCUCCAAGCGAGCAGGGCUUUGGUCCGGAGGGCUGACUGCCAGUUGCGCCCUAUCAGGUGGCUGGAUGCCUGGCCCACUGGCCCAUAACGAGCUCUGGGCUGGGCCCGCAAUUCCCUCUUGUCACCCCACCAUGCUUCUAUCUUGCUUCCCGGGAGGGCAAGGCAGAGGCGUGCAGAGCGCCCCGCGACCUCCCUCCUUGACGUGGAGGAUGCACGUGUCCCCACUGCCACCUUCCAGUCGACCGGGGCGCUCUCUGGGGGGGCCUGGGGGCACCUGAUGUCUCCUCUCUGUUUUACAGCUACUUCCCUGCAAGAGCUUCGGCUCCUCAGCGCCCUUCUCGCGGGCACGAACUAACCGUGGGCACAGCUCUCUCGCAGGAGGGCGCGCCGGAGGCAAGAUUGUCCUGUGAAGUGGAAUGGGACAGCCUCUGUUCAGCUCCUCUGAAAAUGGAGACAGAGAGGGGACCUGUGCAUCUUGCCAAGGUCAAGGGAUUGGAAUAGAGAGCCAUGCCCCUCUAGGACACUCGAGAUCGCCCGAAGGGGAGGAGCCCAGCAGAGAGGGAGAACGCCGUAGUCACUGUCCUGAGGCCAGGAUGAAGGAGGAGGACCAGGCAGAGGGCAUGGUGCCGGCUCCGCUCCCAUCGCUGCCCCUCCGAGACGUGGCCGGGGACCUGGGGAAACAGGCCCCAACCCCUCCUGUAGGGGCCUUUGCCUGUGAUCCUGCUGGUCGCCGCUUCUGCCUUUGUCAUAGCAUGUACCUGUCCUGGCUCAAGGCGCUCUGACCAGUCCUCCAGCAAAUAGAAGCUCUGCGCCAUCACACGUUCCACCCUGGAGGACGAAGGGCUGCACACUAGGAGGUGGCCCAGGCGCGGGGCUCCAGGCUUCUGGGGGUUAAUGACUCCCUCUCCCCAGCUGUCCUCCCCUUGGUGCUCCUCUUCCUCCCUCCUCCUGUUCACAGCAGGCAGGGCCUGGACCUAGGAGCCAGGCCGCUGUGCUGUUGCCAGGGGAGCCGGGAGCAGGAUCUGAGCUAUGCAGGGAAAAGGCCCAGCCUGUCAAAGUGUCUGAGAUGAACCGCCGCCGUCCCCAUGCAGCUGGGCUCAGACGUGUCUCGGCUCUUGUUCUGUGCCUGAGAAUGGCGACACCCAGUGAGGUUCAAGGGCAAACUCACUAUUCAUUAGUCAGAGGUUCUUGACGUCCCUGUCUCUCCCAGGGAUGGGUUCCUCCCCCCCCCCCCCCCCGCCCUUUUCUCUCCCUCCUGUGACACAUUCCUGGGUGCCUUUGGUGAGGACUACACACCCUCCUCCUCCUGCCCAACUCGUCUCCAGAGGCCCCUGAAUAAACUCCCCCCAAGGAGACCAGGCAGGGCAGAGACAAUGGCCACAGGAAAGCAUUCAGGCGGGACUCCAGCCAUGCUGGCCUGCCCUCCAUUCCCAGCGCCUCUGUGGGCCCCACCUCCCUCUGACUAAGGUACCCCUGAGCAACCAGCCCACACAAGACGAAGCCACUGGACACUGAUCUCUGGACAACAGGCCAGUCCAGUGCCAUUCGCAGUGGACCCCUUGGAUGCCCCCAUGGCUCAUAUGUCACAUAGCUGUCUACCUUGGUGCCUUUCCCUACCAUCAUGUGUCUAUUGUGUGACACUCUCUCUGUGAGUUGGAGCAUGUACAUUGUAUAAUAUUUUCUGAAAUGUGGCAGUAUCAAAAUAUAAAGGGCACAUAUACUUGGUUGCAAACAAAUUGCACUACUAGGAAUUUACUAUAUGGUUAAGAUGUAAGAGUUCCCAAAGAAAUAUGUACAAGAAUGUUCAUCAGAGUGUUUCUUUUUAAGAAUGUAAAGAAGUGGGACUGAGCCUAUGGUCAAUUCAUACUGUGAAAUACUAUGCAGCUACAAAAAUUGAUGUGGUAGGUCUCUAUGUAUUAGCUGCUGUGGGAGGCUGGCCAGUAUCUAUUCUUGG
rnacentral:lncRNA from 1 species